CCGGCGCACGGGUGAGUAACGCGUAUAGAACCUACCUUUUACUGGAGAAUAACCAGGAGAAAUUCUGACUAAUACUCCAUAGUAUGUAUAAGUUGCAUAGUUUAUACAUUAAAGAUUUAUUGGUAAAAGAUGGCUAUGCGUCCUAUUAGCUAGAUGGUGUGGUAACGGCACACCAUGGCAACGAUAGGUAGGGGCCCUGAGAGGGGGAUCCCCCACACUGGUACUGAGACACGGACCAGACUCCUACGGGAGGCAGCAGUGAGGAAUAUUGGACAAUGGAGGCAACUCUGAUCCAGCCAUGCCGCGUGCAGGAAGACUGCCCUAUGGGUUGUAAACUGCUUUUAUACAGGAAGAAACACUCCCUCGUGAGGGAGCUUGACGGUACUGUAAGAAUAAGGAUCGGCUAACUCCGUGCCAGCAGCCGCGGUAAUACGGAGGAUCCAAGCGUUAUCCGGAAUCAUUGGGUUUAAAGGGUCCGUAGGUGGAUAAUUAAGUCAGAGGUGAAAUCCUGCAGCUCAACUGUAGAAUUGCCUUUGAUACUGGUUAUCUUGAGUUAUUAUGAAGUAGUUAGAAUAUGUAGUGUAGCGGUGAAAUGCAUAGAUAUUACAUAGAAUACCAAUUGCGAAGGCAGAUUACUAAUAAUCAACUGACACUGAUGGACGAAAAGCCGUGGGGAGCCGAACAGGAUUAGAUAC
rnacentral:rRNA from 1 species